GGCCGGGUCCCAUGCAAGCCGAGCCCGUGAACCUGGUCAGACGGGGAACCGAGCAGCCAUAAGCGGACGCUUAGCUGUGCGUGGGGCAACCCGGCCGAU
rfam:Planctomycetes bacterium RBG_13_60_9 RBG_13_scaffold_5134, whole genome shotgun sequence.